UUCUUAUUUAUUUACUACAUAUGCAAAUACAAUAUGUAAUUAUUUGUUAUCAAAAAUCAUACAUCGAAAGUAGUAGUGGAAGUAAAACUGUGAGGACAGUGGUCUGAUUAGCUACAGGUUCGAACUACUUCGGCAAAGUCCGUGAAGGCGCUCUGAGAUUUUCAUUUCUCAAUCGUACAACGGUGGUCAGCUACGAAGGUCUUGAAAUAGAAGAGAAUCUCUGAUCCGCAUCAUAAAAAUACAUUGCUGUUUCCUGGCCUUCGCGCCGCUCCUCGACUGCGCCCGUUCUAUUCAACCGCGAAAAUUCUGCAGGAAUUUUAAUAACUCGGAUUCGUACUGAUUAAAACGGAGGUCGCAUCCGACAUUUCACCGACCAGUCUCUGGUUACUAGUUGGCGGCGGAUAGCACGUACUCCUCAGGUGGAGGAGGGGCCAAUCGGCACCCCGAUAUACCGAUUCUCAUCGCCGAUGGAAGCGCGUUGUCCAAUUACGAUAAUGAGGCAUCGUCGUCGUCGUCGUGUCGUUUCAUGGUAAAGAAUGAAUCGUCCUUGACGCUUGGAUGAACAACGAUGCAACGUUGCAACCUAUUCUAUGGUGGCCAAAUGUAGGAGAGAAACCGGAAGUGGAAGAACCAGAGCGAAGGAAAGUAAGUUUGUAAGCUUGUUAACUCAAUGGAUAUAUAUGGAUAAAUAUAUCGAUUUUUUCGAAGGAAACACGAAAUUUGCGACAAUCCUUCCAUAUAUAAUAUGAAUUAAUAAACUCGAACGAAUUUUGUUUAUUACGAAUA